UUUAUUAACGGUGUUUCAUUUAUCUGUUUUUUUCAGGGCAACUGUAAUGCACAUUCGAAAGAUAACAAACAGAAGAAACAAAAAUCAAACCUAAUUCAUAAUAUAACUGUGAUUAUUAAUUUGAAUGGGAUGCCCACCACAACUUAUUCUUAUAGACCAAAAGUUGAGAAUGUGGAGUUUUGGAGUAAUAUAGGAGGCUACAUAGGAAUAUGGCUUGGAAUAUCUUUAAUUGCUGUGUAUGAUUUUUUCGAUACAAUAAUUGGUAUCCUUUUUCAUCUUUGUCAGAAGCUUCAAAUCAGGGCUAAAAGAUUUGUGAUACGAAUUUUGAAACGUUAAUUUUCUUGGUAUAAAUAAUUGUAUACUGAAAAAUC
rnacentral:lncRNA from 1 species